CGGGACCCAAUCUGGCAUCCCUUCGUUAACAAACCGGAAAGACUGUGAUAAAGAACAUACUACUGCACUGACUCUCAAGGGGGAAAAAAACUGGGACUGAGAAAAAUAUGAGCGAGUAAAAGCUGCACAACUCAAGUCUAUAAUGGCUCAAAGAGAAAUAUGUGACAUCAGCAGCUUCUCCAAGUUCUCCUCCCAUUUGUUUUCAGAAGCUGAAAUAGUGAUGAAAGAAAUCGAGCAUCUGAUCCAGUUGUGUACAUCAACAGAGCAGUCCACCCAGGGACGGCACUCAAUGAUUCAACAGAAGGAUCUGGUCAACAUAAAGGAGGUUGGAGAGACCUUGGUCAUAGAGGGGUUCAGAUUUGAGAGUGCAGCGAGCAGGGAGGACUUGAGAGGUCGGUGUGAAACGGCACAACGCCAGAGCGGCACAUAAGUUCACCCAAAAUGUACCGUUAUUUCCUCAAAGAUUACUUACUGAGUAUGUAAAUAUGUCAGUUGUCACUGAUCAGUUUGUGCGUAGAUAACAGCUUGCUAAGUAGAUGGUAUCAUUUUAUUAUAAUUUCUUUUUUCAAGUAUUAAUUGUUGUCUAAUGUCAGUGACUGUCACUCUUUAUGGAGUUUUGUGCCACAGCACUAUGCCUUCUUUUUUGCAAUUCUUUAAGAUGUUUCUGUUCUUUUGUUCGGGUUUUUAGUUGGCAAGG
rnacentral:lncRNA from 1 species